GGGUUGUGAGGUUAAGCGACCAAGCGUACACGGUGGAUGCCCUGGCAGUCAGAGGCGAUGAAGGACGUGCUAAUCUGCGAAAAGCGCCGGUAAGGUGAUAUGAACCGUUAUAACCGGCGAUGUCCGAAUGGGGAAACCCAGUGUGACUCGUCACACUAUCAUUAACUGAAUCCAUAGGUUAAUGAGGC
rnacentral:rRNA from 1 species